rnacentral:lncRNA from 1 species
GAGAGAGAAAGAGAGAGAGAGAGAGAGAGAGAGAGAGAGAGAGGUCAACCUCCAUUCAACCUCUAUUGUUGAUCCUCAGGAGACUUCUACUUUGUAUUUUGAGAUGUCUUUCAUAUUCCUGGGGCUUGCCAGUUAAUCUAGGUUGGAUGGCCAGCAAACACCAGAGACUUCUGUGUCUUGGCUUUCUCAGAGCUGGGAUUACAAUAAUACAGCACCACACUCCAUCUGGAAAUCAUACUCAAGUCAUCAUGGUUGUUCAGGGAGCACUUUCAAUACAGAUUUGAAUAAACCUGUCACAUCAUUAAUGAAUGAAAGAAUUAAAGAUAGUUUAUCACAAACUUGUGUCAUAGAAAAGUCAGUUGUAAAGUAGUUUGUGAAGCUGGGUACGGUGGCUAUGCCUUUAGUAUAGCACUCAGGAAGAAGACAUAGGCAGAUCUCUUUGAGUUCAAGAAUAGUUUGAUUACACAGGGAAUUCCAGGCCAGGCAGGGCUGUAUAGUGAAACUCUGUCUCAAAAACAAAAACACAACAGCAACAACAACAACAACAACAACAUCAACAUAAAAACCUUGUGUAGUACAAUUUCACUUUUGAAAUGCUUCAACUUUAGAGCAUUUUGUGCGCUAUGUUAGUGAGUUUGGGAAUUUAGGUAACCAGUCCUUCAGUUCUGUCAUGUGGGAACAUUACAGGAGAUAGAUGGGAAGAGGUAGUGGGGAGACUGUGAGGCCAGCAGGGUAAUGUUAUAAUACAGUGACUGAGAGAGGCCGAAGCUGUGAAGGAAUCAGAAUUCUAGGUACUCCAGUGAGUGACAUUUUUUAGGCAAAGAUGGUAAGAGGCUAAUUGGUUUAGAAGGAGACAGGAUUAGGGUUUUGUAUUUCUUUCUAAAUCAGAGGAGGCAGUAAUUCAGUUCAACCUCUUUUAAAUGUAAACUCCAUCUUUUAAAAUCACUCAGAGAACCUGCCUUCAAGUGAAAAAUAAAAUACAAACAUAAGAUGAUCCCUUAGCCUUUAGUCUCUGAUAAAAGCACACUGAACUCUUUGGAGUUAGAGGAAGGUUUGUGUGUUGGAAGCCAAUAUCUUUUUUUUUUUUUUUUAUGUCUGGUUUCCUCCUGCUUGAAUUUUAAUGACAAUAUGGCCAGUGUUUUAGUUUUGUUGGGGGCUUUCCUCUCAAUCUUAGGAGCAACAGUUUGAAACCAGAUGAUUCUUAGAGAACUCUUCCGAGGAGUCCAGCUGCUACUCAGCUGUGAUCACUCAUUGUUCCCGAAAUAAGCAGCUUAGACUUAACUAGCCACACUUUGGACUGUCCCUAUACAAAGCUGUGUCUGUCCAACAUAGACUGGGGACUCGCUGUGCUCCAGGCUCAGCUGGAGGGUCUGCUGAAUGUCACAGGAUGCUUACAUCACACUCUCUAAAGACUUGGCAAUUCCUAGCAUAACUUCACCCUAACACUGAACUCUCUGCUCCUUCUAAAAGUCCCCUUGAGGGCUAGGAACUAGAGAGGAGUCUAGUCCUAGGAAGACAGUAGAAAGAAUGCUCUUUAAAAACUAUUGAGAAAAAAAUGGACAUUCACGUGUCCUCAUUCCUGUACUGUAGAACAAAAAAAAUCCAAAACAAACAAACAAAAAACAAAUAGAUUUUGGGUAGAAUAAAGAGAGAAAUUUGCAAUCUGGAAUUUAAGUUAAACAUUGCAAAAUUUUCUGGGUAAUUAGUUUAAGUAGGAUUGAGAGUAUGUGCCCCAGGGUCUCCAACAUUCACAGCUCACUUGAACUGGUUAGGGAUCUAGAUCUGGGGAUAGGGACCUAGAUCCUAGGGGUCUAGAACACUAAAACCCUGACCGGCUACAUCUAAACCUGUAUUUAUGAAAGAUUUCCCAGGGAACGACUUGUACUGGUUUGUCAACUUUUCUGUAAUUUUAAAGAUAUCUCAAAAUUUUAAAAAAAGUUCAAAGGGGAGGAGGAUGAAGAAUAUAUUUAACAUACAAAGAUCAAAACUUUAUAGAAGUUUAUCUACAAAAAAAAAAACUUAUUAAAAGCAAAGAUGCUAAGAGUGAAACAAAACUGAUUUAGGUAGUGCUAUUGGUGUACAAGAGGAAGUGAAGGAUACUAUUUAGUGCAAUUAGAGAUCAGCAAAGCCAAGUAACUAAAGCAUCCUGAGCACGGAGAAAGACAGUCCUUCUUAGGAAAGUUGCUAAUAAAAAAGAAUCUCAAAAGGAAGAGAGAAGAGGAGUCGGACUUUAAUGAAGGUUGUGUUUAAUACACCUGGGUACAUAUUUAAAAUAUAACUUUAAAACCAAAUUUGAACACUAGUGCCAGGCUAACAGGUGAUUAGAAGAGUUUUUUAGUUUUGAAAAAGCCGAGUUGAAUGGAAGUCAGUCUUUGCUGGACUAGUGACUGUAAAGAGGCUUAGACACAUCCCUCUCUUCCACAUUCUUCCUUUUUGGGAUAUUGUGAAUAUACAGGCUCAUAGGCAAGUAGUGUUUAAACUCUGCACUGGGUGAUUGCAGAUUUGUGUUAAACACACCUGCAAACAUUUCCUGGUCAUGUUUGACCCUUUUAUACCCCCGUUUAGUCCUCUGCCUCUUCAUCCUUCAGUUAGGAUGCUAAGGAUAAUUUCAUGAAAAGACCUUUGCAAAUUAUGCCUGUUUGGAUCAGGUGCAUUCCUUUGAGGUCCUGUGGCAUCUUAGGUAUGUCACAGUUUGCUGAUUUUUUUCCUUUUGUAUAUUUAUCUUAUGAAACAGUAAUUAAAGAGUUUUCAGUAGCUUAGUGUAUUGCAUUCUUUUUUACUUAAUAAAUGCUUUAGAAUGAAAGAAGUAAAACUAAGACUACUCUGGACCUUAUCUUCUAGUGACAACAAUAUCUUUGGAGACUGAAGUGUGUUUAAGGCUAAUACAUAGGAGAAAAAUUUAGAUGCUUCAACCUGUGCAAGGCACAUGCCUGUCACAGAGCAGAUUUUUCAACAAAUUUUAGCUGUAUGAAAUUAAAGGCCUUUGGCAUCUCUUCUAGGAGUACUCUGACUGUAUUAUUUUAAGGAAUAGUCCAUUAGAAUGUCAAGAGUAUGUGGAUUUAGGUAUGGGUGUAUUUCUUCAUAAAUGAAUAAUUACAUUGACUUCUAAUUAUAAAGCAUCUGAAUAUGCUAUGUGUACUGGCUGGUUCUGUGUCAACUUGACAAAAGCUGGAGUUAUCACAGAGAAAGGAGCUUCAGUUGAGGAAAUGCCUCCAUGAGAUCCAGCUGUGAGGCAUUUUAUCAAUUAGUGAUCAAGGGGGAAAGGCCCCUUGUGAGUGGGACCAUCUCUGGGCUGGUAGUCUUGGGUUCUAUAAGAGAGCAGGCUGAGCAAGCCAGGGGAAGCAAGCCAGUAAAUAACAUCCCUCCAUGGCCUCUGCAUCAGGUCCUGCUUCCUGACCUGCUUGAGUUCCAGUCCUGACUUCCUUUGGUGAUGAACAGAAAUGGGUAAAAUGUAAGCUGAAUAAACCAUUUCCUCCUCAACUUGCUUCUUGGUCAUGAUGUUUGUGCAGGAAUAGAAACCCUGACUAAGACAUUAAUGUUAUAAUGAGAUCUUUAGAUAUGUAGGUCACAGAUAAUCCUCUAAUAUUCUUAUGAGGCUUAUAUGAAAUUUAGGGGCUGGGAUUUAGAUUCUGAAAUGUGUAAUUUUGAGACUCGUUCAUUUCUAAUCAGAAUUGUCUUUGCUCUGCUCAUUGUGCUUUUAAGAAGAAAAGAACAGGACACAAAGCCAAAAAUAGUCAUGCUUGAUUAGAUAAAGAUAAAACACUUCCUUAUUAUACAUAGUUAGUUGUCAAAGGAAAACAUAAAGAUGGCCAAAUUUAAAUAAAGGAAUAUUAGUAUUACUGAUCAUCAUGGAAAUGC